rnacentral:tRNA from 1 species
GGGAGUGUGGCUCAGUGGUAGAGUGCUUGCCUAGCAUGCAUGAAGCCCUGGGUUUGAUUCCUCAGCACCA